CUUUAAUAAUUGCAUUUUCUUUUGUCUCUUUUAAAAGCUUUCCCCAAAUCCGGCCCGUAAAGCCAUCUACUGCCACCAAUAGAUAUUUAUUACCGUCUUUAGGCCUCGGGAUCAAAGGUCCAGCGAUGUCCAAAGACCAUUCCUGGUUAACUCUGUCUGGCCUUUCAGCUCGGAAUAUCGUUUGCUAAGUGCUGCCAGCUGCUUCUCCACACCAGUAAAUUUAAGUUCUGGGAUCUCCCAGCUUCCAGUCAUAAUUCUAACAGGACCAUUCCAGACGGCUGAGAGGAUCCUGGCUGGUUGUUGUCCUCCCUUUUCUUAAGAAUUUUUCCAGUUCAUCCUGAUUUAUGUUAGUCAUUAAUAAAUUUAUGGUCAAUUGACCUUCCUGUGACAUAUGUGUAAUUCCCGAUAGUAUGCCUUCUAAUACCGAAUUAACUGGGUGUUUAAAUUGUCCUGUUCCCAUUAAAGUCAUAUGUAUUU